ACACACUUCCGUACGAUCACCGAAGUUAAGCAACGUCGAGUCUGGUCAGUAUCUAGAUGGGUGACCGCUUGGGAAUACCAGGUGCUGUAAG